GUAUGAUCCUGUGUUACCCCGAUGGUAACUUUCUAAUGAUGUAACUAGUACGUAUAAAUAUGGAAGAACUUUUAUGACUAUAUAUGUACACAUGAUAUAUAAUUAAUAUUGAAACGACCUUCAGACGGCUACCCGAUAAUCCACCAGACCACAUCCAAAUCGAGGAAAAGGAAAUAGGGCGGACGGCCUUCCUAAGCCUUUUAAACAUUGCUUAUAUAACUAUACAUAUACGGGCAUGCAAUUUAUAAUAAGUAUAACAAAGGUUAAGUAAAAGCAUUUGAUAAGUAAAAGAGCUUGUAAAGCAGUUUGAAGUAAAACAGUUUGAAUAGUAAUAAAUCAUUGGUUUUGUAGUUAUUAAUCACAUGUGAUUGAUGUAAUAACUAUAAGUAUUCAACUUGUAUUCCCCCCCCCAUUAAAGCACUUAAAACAUUUAAAAGUAUUUCAAAGGUUAGUUAAAGGGGGUAUGAACUCACUUGAGGUGGAUUGGAUUGAAGUGUCGGGUAUGGUGCUAAGUGACAAAUGAAGACUUGUACACACGCACGAGCCUAGUUAUCAUAUAAUGAACAUAUAUAUAACUAAUUAGCCAAUUUAUAGCUAGUAAAUUAUGUUGGGGCACCUUAUAACAUGAACACACUUUGCUUCAAGUGUUAAAGAUCACAAGGAUUGCAUCUGAGUGUUGGUAGGGCAAAACUAGUGUGUUUGGAGUCCAAGGGUAAUUCCCUUGGAUUUUACGGUUUUGAUGGUCAAGACCUAGGGAGUUUAUGGCGGUAAAAUCUGGAGUUUACAGUUGUAAACUCUAGUCUUAAGGUCCAAGUGUUGUUUUGUAGUUUAGCAAAACUUUUGAAGCAAUUCUACUAAGUGGUUUGGCCUUUGGAAGGGACUACGGCAACAAAACACCUCCUUUGAGGAGUUUACGGCCUAAUAGCAUUUUCCUUUGGGUUUACUACCAUAAACACUUAUGGAGAAGUGUAUUUCCAUGUUUUCAAGUCCCUAACACAAUUAGGUAAGUGUAUGUGCGAGUUUCUAAUCCUAAGGAAGGAAAAUAACCCAGUUAGACACACUUUAGGGUGUUUACGGUUUUGGGAGAUCCCCAAACCGUAAACACCUAUAAAUGUUGGAUUUUGGUGUUUUUCAAGGCUUAGAUACAUCAAAGGAAGUUUUAAUCAAUUCAUGGAAGGCUUAAACAUCAAACUAGGGCUUAGAUAAGGACUUAGGCACACUUUGGUUCACUUUUUGGUGUUUACGGUCCAAGCAUCUCCUUGAACCGUGAACACCUAUAUCCUUGUGUUCUUGACAAAUUUCCUUCAUAUUUAAAUGUAAUACUAGCUUAAAAUCACUCAAGGAUGAAAGCACUUACUAUUAGAAGGCUUGAUUUGAGCUAAAAGGCCAAGAACACUUAGUGUGUGUUCUUGGUAUUUUGGAAAUCUAGCCAAAAUACAAAUAUGAUUGGAUGAUUAGAUUUAUAAACACUAGAUUAAGUGUUUUACUAACUUAAAAAGGUUAGAACACUUACAAGAUUGAAGAUUUGGAAUUAAAUCUUGAAUGGUAUUUGAGAGAAUAUUUGGAGUUUACUCUUUUGACAUUUAGGGAGUAAACACAAAUGACUAACUUCUUGGGGAGUAAACUCAUACAUAGGUAUGAGUUUACGGUUUUGGGUGAUUUCUCAACCCAAAAUAUAAAAGUUUGGUCGAGUGUUUCUAUUACGCGAAGUGUUUGUGGUUUUUGAAAUUCAAAACCCGAGACGGCACUUUCUUUCUCCCGUUCGUUUAAAAAUAAUACUAAAAUAAUUAAACGAACUUUAUAUUUCUUAAAAAUAAGAAAUAAUUAUAUUAACUUAUGAUACGAAGUGAUUAACUUUUAGGGUUUGACCGAAUGGAAAUUUCGGGUUGUCACAUCAUCCCCCUGUUAAGGGAAUUUCGUCCCGAAAUUAAAGUCUAAACAAAUAAAGUAGUUACAAUUUACUAUGCAAAAAGAUGAGGGUAUUUCAGUUUCAUCUGAUCCUCACGCUCCCAAGUGAAUUCUGGUCCUCGCUUGGCGUUCCAGUGAACCUUCACUAUCAGGAUACGGCUUUGCUUCGUCUGCUUGACUUCUCAGUCCAUGAUCUCUAUUGGUCGUCGGACAUACACUUUUUCAAGUUUGAUACGUGGAAUGUAGAAUGUACGUUACGAAGUUCGUCGGGUAUAUUGAGUUUGUAAGCUAAAGGGCCGAUUCUUGCGAGAAUCUCGAAGGGCCCUAUAUAUCUUGGAUUAAGCUCCCCAUGCUUACCGAAGUGUAUCAAGCCCUUCCUGGGUGAGACUUUAAGAAGAACUCGGUCUCCCACCUGGAAUUCCAAAGGUUCCCUUCGCUUAUCAGCGUAGCUCUUCUGUCAGUCUCUAGAGGCUUUCAAUCGUUCACAGAUCUGAACGAUCUUCUCUGCCGUUUCCUGGAUGAUUUUCGGGCCUGUGAGAGUACUGUCAGAAACUUGCCCCCUAGCUAAUUGGGUAUCACCCACUUCCGCCCAACACAGAGGGGAUCUGCACUUUCGGCCAUAGAGGGCUUCGAAUGGGGCAGCCUUGAUGCUCAUGUGAUAACUGUUAUUGUAGGAAAACUCGACAAGGGGUAAAUGAGUAUCCCAUGCCUUUCCAAAGUCGAUCACACAGGCUCUCAAGAUAUCUUCCAGUGUUUGGAUGGUCCUCUCACUUUGUCCGUUGGUCUGUGGAUGGUAGGUUGUGCUCAUGUCCAACCUUGUUCCUAGGAAAUGUUGUAGCGAUUGCCAGAAUCUUGAGGUGAACGUACUAUCUCUAUCGAAGAUAAUGGAUAUAGGUACACCAUGUAGCCGUACGAUUUCCCUAAUGUAUGUUCUCGUAAGUUUCUCCAUCUUGUCAGUUUCUUUGAUAGGCAAGAAAUGUGCAGACUUAGUCAAUCUAUCGACGAUAACUCAUAUGGUGUCAAGUCCACCCAUUGUCUUGGGCAACUUGGUUAUGAAAUCCAUAGUGAAUCGCUCCCACUUCCAUUCUGGAAUCUCUGGUUGCUGUAGUAAACCGGAGGGCUUCUGGUACUCGACCUUAACCUUUGCGCAAGUAAGGCAUUUACGUACGAAGGUAGCAAUCUCUGCUUUCAUAUUGGGCCACCAGUAUAACUUUUUAAGAUCCAGAUACAUCUUAUCUGAACCUGGGUGGACGGAAUACCGAGUGUUGUGUGCCACGGUCAUGACCAAGUCUCGGAAACCACUGUGUCUUGGUGUCCAGAUCCGGUUCAUGAAAUAUAAGGCUCCGCCACCCUUAGCUUCUAAAUUUUAAUCCAUUCCUCUAAGGGAUUCACUCGUCACGUUUUCAGGUUUCAUGGCUUCAAGCUGGGCCGCCUGAAUUUGCUUAGACAAGUGUGAAUGGAUAGUCAUUGUCAACGACUUGACUCUUUGACCAAAAUAUUCCUUCCGACUUAGGGCAUCUGCUACUACAUUGGCUUUACACGGAUGAUAACGAAUUUCACAUUCGUAGUCACUGAGUAGCUCGACCCACCGUCGUUGUCUCAUGUUGAGCUCCUUCUGAUCGAAAAUGUGUUGUAAACUCUUGUGGUCGGUAAAGAUAGUGCUUUUCGUUCCGUACAAGUAAUGUCUCCAGAUCUUCAGAGCAAACACAACUGCUCCUAGCUCAAGAUCAUGGGUCGUGUAGUUAACUUCGUGUGUUNAGUUGGUGGUUGGUUAUUGUCACACCCCCAAACCUGAACGGCGGAAACGUUCGGGGGUGUAUGACUUCAUGUGGUAACGUAACAAAUGAAUACAUAGUAAAGAAAGCAAUACAACCAUCAUAUAUAUAUAUAAUUGAAAGUUUACAUUUGUCAAAAGUUACAUGUUCAAAACCAAUUAAAAUAUGAUGUCAAAAUACGAGAUUAAAUUGGCGCCGCAGCAUCCCUUCAUCAAAAGCGUAAUGAAUACCUGAAAUUACUGAUUUCCUGGGACAUACAAGUAAUUUUGAAAGAGUAGAUCAGCAUUUAAGCUGGUGAGUUUCAUAAGUAUUUAAGUGACAAUGUUUGUAUGAAAUGAAAUGUUUUGUCUUUGUUUGUUUGUGUUUAGAAAAUCCUAUAUUUUCUACUAGUAUAAAAGUAGCCUUCACUCAAGACCAAUGUUUGUUUCCAAAAUGUAUGUAAAUGUAAAAUAACCAAUGAGUUUGAAAACCUUGUAAAUCAAUGCAUUUUUAAUACCCCUUGUGAGUUUUAUAACCAUACUAUUGACUCUGAAUGCCUAUACACAACGUUCUUCAGGCGUUGGAAUGUUAUGACGUUUGUCACCCCAAACGGUGGACUGCAGCUAACAGUCAGGGCGCGGGUUGUCAAGCCCGUAUAGAUCUAUACACAAACACCAUGCUCCCCCUCCAAGGGAUUCUGGUAUAUAAUACAGGACUUGAAAUGUGUACUCGAACGUACAUGAAGUUAGUGUCUCACAAAUCCGUGGUAUAAAAACAGAUCUACUUGUUAAAAUGUUACGUUUGUUCUUGUAUACGAAAGUAAACUUCUUGAAAUAUGUGUUUCUAGUACAUAAGAGUUAGAAAUCUGUUCGUAAAACUAUACCUAUUAUAGUUUCCAAAAAGCGUGUCUUGUUUGUUUAGAAAUAUUGAGAAAAGGAAUCACUUGUUUAUGAAAGUAUAGAUUUUUGGUGUAGAGUCUAGGAUAGACAAGAAAAAUCUAAGAACAGUUUAGUUUAUACAUGCAUUACAACAACAUUAUAUUUUAAAAGGUAAAAUGCUAUUGUGACAUAUGUUAUAUAUAUAUAAAAGUUCCUUUAAAUGUUUAUAAAUCGCAUGUGAUUUGAAUAUAUAACAGUAUAUAAAAGAGUUUCUUUAUGUAACACACGAUAAUACUCGUGUGUUUUACUUGUAAUCCCCCCCUUGAAAGCAUAUAAAAGUAUUUAGAAUAAUUAAAAAGGUUGAUUAAGGGGUAUGAAACUCACUUGAAAGUUUUGGAGAUAGCGAGAUGGAAAACCGGGCAGAGUUUCGUCUCGGGAAACGGAUUUUCCUCGGGAUUCUCGGGAAUCUCGGGAGUAAAAUCGACCUUCGGGACUUGAGCCAAAAAGACCAGAGCUUCGGGUUUGAACGGACACGGAAAACGAGGCAAAGUUGAGAGAGAGAGAAGAGAAAUGAACCCUUUCUUUGGAAACCCUCGCAUCCUAUUUAUAGUAAGGCUGGUCUGCCUCGGUACGCGGGGCGUACGCUCGUACGCAGCGCGUACGCGUACGUCAUGCAUGACCGAAGCCUCGACUGCCUCGGUUCGGAUGGGACGGGUUGCUGGGUACGCGGGUCGGAUGGGACGCCGGGUCGGAUGGGACGUCGGGUCGGACGGGUCGGGGCUUCGGACGGGUCGGAUGGGUCGGUUUCUUCGGAUAGCGCGACGUGGACGAUCAGAGGCCAAUCCUCUCGGUUACGCGGGGCGUACAGGGGUACGCAGCGCGUACCUCGGAGGAGGAUGCUGACUCCCCUUCGGAUAAUAUCCGAAUUUUGAAUUAAAUAAAUAAUUAAUUUAUUUAAUAAACUUCAAAAAUUCAUAUCUUCUUCAUACGAACUCCGUUUUCGAUGGUCUUUAUAUCCUCGCGUAGGUGAGACUACGCUCUACAACUUUCGUUUAGACUCCGUCGGCAAAUUCCAAAAUUAUAUUUUUAUUAUUUAUUAAAAACCCAUCGUGUUUAAGGAAUUUCUUUGAAAAUUCAUAACUUCUUUAUCUGAUGUCGGUUUUUGCCAGACUUUUUACCGCUGGAAUACCAUUGUCGAGACCUUCGAUUCUCGUUUAGGUCAUUCCGGCCAAAAGUCGCUCGAUCUCCGAUUCGAGUUUUUAGCUGUCUGUUGCUAAGCCGAACUUGGAAAAAUCAUAACUUCGCUAUAUGAAGUCGGAUUUGGGCGUUCUUUUCACGUACGAUCAUGGUUCAAAGACAUUUAAUCAUAGAAGGAAAUUAAGUAGAACUUAUUUAUACAUUUUAUUAUGAAAGUAACUUUUUAUUAUUCAGAAGUGGUUACAAUACUUGACCCAUUUUGGUCGUUACAAAGAGUUGAAAUAUCGGGUUGUCACAUCAUCCCCCCGUUAGAGAGAAUUUCGUCCCGAAAUUUAAAGUAGUAAAGAUACUAGUGAACAUGAAAGAGAUGAGGGUACUUUUGUUUCAUCUGAUCUUCGCGUUCCCAUGUGAAUUCGGGUCCCCGCUUGGCGUUCCAGCGAACCUUCACGAUGGGUAUGCGACUUUGUUUUGUUUGUUUGACCUCUCGGUCCAUGAUUUCUACUGGUUCUUCCACAAAGUUGAGGCUCUCGUUGAUCUCGAUCUCGUCGAGUGGAAUAACAAGAGUCUCGUCGGACAGACACUUUUUCAAGUUUGAGACGUGGAAGGUUGGAUGGAUGUUACUAAGUUCGCGCGGUAGGUUAAGCUUGUAAGCCACAGGGCCGAUUCUGGCAAGAAUCUCGAAAGGCCCUAUGUAUCUUGGAUUUAGUUUCCCACGCUUUCCAAAUCGUAUUAAACCCUUCCACGGUGAGACCUUUAAUAAGACGUGGUCUCCUACCUGGAAUUCCAAAGGUUUCCUCCUUUGGUCAGCGUAGCUUUUCUGUCGGUCUCUUGAGGCUUUCAAUCGUUCACGAAUCUGAACGAUCUUCUCUGUUGUUUCACGUAUGAUCUCCGGACCGGUGAGAGUGCUUUCAGGAACUCUUCCUCUAGCUAACUGGGUAUCGCCAACUUCAGUCCAGCACAGAGGGGAUCUGCACUUUCGACCAUAGAGGGCUUCAAACGGAGCAGCCUUUAUGCUUGUAUGAUAACUAUUGUUGUAUGAAAAUUCGACAAGGGGUAAAUGAAUAUCCCAUGCCUUUCCAAAGUCAAUCACGCAGGCUCUCAGCAUGUCUUCUAAAGUUUGUAUUGUUCUCUCACUUUGUCCGUCUGUCUGUGGGUGGUAGGCUGUACUCAUGUCUAGCCUAGUUCCCAGGGAACUUUGUAGUGACUGCCAGAAUCUUGAAGUGAAUCUACUAUCUCGAUCGGAGAUAAUGGAUAUCGGAACACCAUGCAGUCGCACUACUUCCCUUAAGUAAGUUCUUGUAAGCUUCUCCAUUUUGUCAGUCUCCUUGAUGGGUAGGAAAUGUGCGGAUUUGGUCAAUCUGUCGACAAUGACCCAUAUGGUAUCGAGUCCACUUGUCGUCUUGGGUAACUUGGUUAUGAAGUCCAUAGUAAUCCGCUCCCAUUUCCAUUCCGGUAUCUCUGGUUGUUGUAGUAGUCCUGACGGUUUCUGAUACUCGACCUUAACCUUAGCGCAAGUAAGACAUUUACUCACGAAGGUAGCAAUUUCUGCUUUCAUGUUAGGCCACCAGUACAGUUUCUUAAGAUCCAGAUACAUUUUAUCUGAACCCGGGUGAACGGAAUAUCUUGAGUUGUGAGCCUCGGUCAUGACUACGUUUCUGAAACCACCAUGAUUUGGGGUCCAGAUUCGGUCCAUGAGAUAGUAGGCUCCGCCACCCUUGACUUCUAAAUUCUUCUCCAUUCCUCGCAGGGAUUCACCCGCCACAUUUUCAGGUUGCAAAGCUUCCAUUUGUGCUUCCUUAAUUUGUGUGGAUAAGUGGGAAUGGAUAGUCAUGGUCAGAGAUUUGACCCUCCGACCAGUGUAUUCCUUUCGACUGAGGGCGUCGGCUACUACGUUGGCCUUGCCAGGAUGAUAACGAAUUUCGCAUUCGUAGUCAUUCAGUAACUCAACCCAUCGUCGUUGUCGCAUGUUGAGUUCCUUCUGAUCGAAAAUGUGUUGAAGGCUCUUGUGAUCGGUGAAUAUAGUACUCUUUGUUCCGUAUAAGUAGUGCCUCCAGAUCUUCAGAGCAAAUACCACUGCUCCUAACUCGAGGUCGUGUGUCGUAUAGUUCACUUCGUGUGUCUUAAGCUGUCGGGAGGCAUAAGCGAUAACCUUCCCUCUCUGCAUAAGAACACAACCAAGUCCUUGAUUUGAAGCAUCGCAAUACACUACGAAGUCUUCUAUCCCUUCGGGGAGGGAUAGUAUCGGUGCGGUGCACAAGGCCUGCUUUAGUGUCUGGAAUGCCUUCUCUUGUUUCGCUUCCCAGUCAAAGGCCACACCUUUCUGGGUUAAUGAAGUAAGAGGUUUCGCAAUGCUCGAAAAGUUCUUUAUGAAUCUGCGAUAGUAGCCAGCUAGACCUAGAAAUUGACGAAUUUCUGUAGGUGUCUUUGGUGCCGACCAGUUCUCAAUAGCCUUAAUUUUGGAGGGGUCCACGUGUAUACCUUUCUCGCUAACAACGUGACCUAAAAAUUCGACUCUUCGAAUCCAAAAUUCGCAUUUAGAGAACUUCGCAUAGAGUUUCUCCGUUCGCAGUGUUUCUAGGACUUUUCGUAGGUGUUGACUAUGCUCUUCCUCACUUCGAGAGUAGAUAAGUAUAUCAUCGAUAAAGACGAUGACGAACUGAUCCAAGUAAGGGCGGCAUACCCUAUUCAUUAGGUCCAUAAAUACUGCUGGUGCAUUGGUUAAUCCGAACGGCAUCACCACGAAUUCGUAGUGUCCAUAACGAGUUCGGAAGGCUGUCUUUGGAAUGUCCCCCUCUAGAACUCGUAAUUGGUGAUAUCCGGAUCGCAGGUCUAUUUUGGAGAAGUAGUUCGCCCCUUGAAGUUGAUCGAAUAGGUCGUCGAUACGGGGUAGAGGAUAGCGGUUCUUGACAGUAAGUUUGUUCAGCUCUCUGUAGUCGAUGCACAUACGGAACGAUCCGUCUUUCUUCUUUACAAACAAGACCGGUGCUCCCCAAGGUGAGAAACUUGGUCUUAUGAAUCCUUUGUGAAGGAGUUCAUUAAGUUGACUGGAAAGUUCCUGCAUCUCUGCUGGUGCAAGACGAUAAGGCGACUUCGCUACUGGGGUAGCUCCUGGAAUUAAGUCGAUUCUGAACUCGACUUGGCGUUGCGGUGGUAAUCCUGGUAGUUCUUCUGGAAAGAUAUCGGGAAAGUCGCGUACUACCGAGAUGCUCUUGAUGUCCUUCAGUUCUUGACUUGUAUCGACGAUGUGCGCUAGGAAUGCUCGACAAUCCUUCCGCAAGCACUUUCGAGCUUGGAUGCACGAAAUGAUGCGAAGGUUUGCACUAGAUUUGUCGCCGUAGAUAACUAAUGUUUCGUUGUUAGGGAGGUUAAGACGGACUGCUUUCUCAAAGCACAUGAUGUCGGCGCGAAGAAGACUCAACCAAUCCAUGCCGACUAUGACGUCGAAACUUUUAAUUUGAACCGGCAUGAGAUUGAUUGGGAAAGAAUGGCCGUCUAAUGUUAACGUACAGCCCAUGUAUAUGCAAUUUGUGUUUUCGGUUUUUCCAUUGGCCAUCUCUACAGUGAAUGAUUUUUCUAACUUGCUAGGUUUAGGUUUAAGUAAAUGAAUAAAGUUUUGACUCACGAAGCUUCUCUCCGCUCCACUAUCGAAUAAUAUGCAUGCGUAUGAAUUAUCGAGAAGGAACGUACCAGCAACUAUAGUUGGGUCAGCUACAGCUUCGUCGUGGCCUAUUGCCAAAACUCGUCCCACACCUCCGGUGCCUGCUGCCUUAGGACAGUUUCUCUUGUAGUGGCCCACCUCGCCACAACCGUAGCAAGCCUGCCCUACACCCGCACCGGGAACUUGAGUGAUCGGCUUUGCGGGUUCCUUGCAGAAACGGGCUGUGUGUCCUUUCCUGCUGCAGUUGGCGCACUGCAUAUCUCGACAAGGUCCAUGGUGGUGGUAAUUGCAUUUGGUGCAUUUUGGGAGGUUACCUAUAUAAGGCUUUGUUGGGUAGGUAUUUGUAGGGGCUGUAGCAGGUACAAUGGCAGCAUUUACUGACACCAGUUGUUUCUUUGCGGAUUCUUGGGAAGACCCACCCUUCCCUUUAAUCCACGCUCUCUUCCUGCCAUUGUUGUUGUUGUUGCUGUUGUUGUUGUUGUUGUUGUUGUUGUUGUUGUUUCCUUUCUGUGGUGCUGGUGCAGAAGUGGUUGAGUUCUGAUGACCUCCGUAGUCGAUCAGAGAUUGUGCCAGUUCCUUAGCACUUUCAAAGGUGUCAGGUUUAGAAGCUAACACGCUUGAUCGCAUUUGGGGCGUCAGUCCCCAGAUGUACCUUUCUAUCUUCUUGCUCUCGGGAGCAAUCAUAUCUGGACAAAGGAUUGCCAGUUCGCAGAAUCUGUUGGUAUAAGUAGCGAUGUCGGUACCCACCAUUCCGAGAGUCCAUAGCUCGUGUUCAAGCUUUUGAAUUUCUCCCCGUGGGCAGUAUUCUCUCAUCAUCAUGGCCUUCAAGCUCUCCCAGCUUAUGGAGUUUGCCACGAUUAGGGUAAGUACUUUAACGUGGCCAUUCCACCAAGUUAAAGCUUUAUCGAGAAGGGUGAAAGUUGCAAAUUUGACCUUGCUGUGCUCGGGGCAGGAGCAGAUUUCAAAGACUGCCUCCGUCCUUUCAAUCCACUGCCUCAGGGCCAUCACACCACCAGUACCAUAAAACAUCCGGGGCUUGGCAUUAGUGAAGUCCUUAUAGGUGCAUUCUCGAGGUGGUCCAUGACUCUCGCCAUGGUUGGAUGGGUGUGUGCCAGAUCCCGAGCCAUUAGCACUCGAGUUAUUGAUCUGUGACAUGGCAGCUGCCACCGCUGCGGUGACUGCUGCUUGAAACAUUACAGCAUCAAAUUGGGGUGGUGGAGGAGGUGGUGGUAUAGGUGCUUCCUCACCGUUGUUUCGCCUUGGAUUCCUACGCGGAGGCAUCCUUCAACUAUAGAUUGAAAAGACAAGGAUAAGAAUUUCAUAGAAUGGAAAAUGUAUGUGUCUCAUGAACUAAAUCGCUAUAGUUCAACAACAGAUGAUAGUAUGAGUCUUAAAAUAGAAGAAUGAAAGUUAUUUGUAAGACUGAAGGUAUGAAACAAGUAUUUGGGUUCACAAAGACCAUUCAAGGUUCGAACGAAAUACUUAACAUAGUAGUAAUAGUGCCACUUAUAUUAAUAUAAAAGUUGUUACAACGAUCAUGAAAAUUUGACCCCUAUAAGGGUCUCCGAUUACAAAGUUCGAGAAAUUUAAAGACUUUUAGCCGAGGUCCUAAGCUAUAACAAAAUUUGAGUCCUUGACAAGCACUACUUGCGUCGAAGGUUGCGCUUGGAGCUUGACUCCGUAUCUGAUUGCUUUGACUCCAUUAGACGCCUAUCGAAAGCGGCUUGUUGUUCCCUUAGUUCGGCGAGGGCUGCAAUCAUUUGCGCUUGAAACGCUUCGGUUUGGAAUUGAGCGUUGUCUUGCAUCUUGUCCAGCCUACGGAUGUCAGAAGUGUGAACCUGCACUUCCACGUUGAUAUCCCGGAGUCGACUAGCUUGAACUCCAGACUGAUAGGACUGAUUGGCUAACUUACCCACCAUUACCGGGAGUGCUCGAUCAGCCGAACCUCCGCCGCGGACAUCAUAGAAAUCCCGGCACAUGUCGUAGGGAGGGCGCAGGUUUUGCUAUUGGCUCCAAUGGUGGAGGUGACUUCCCCAGACGGGAGUCGGUCCUUGAAAGUUCCUUACGAAGACGGGAGGUUGAAUGGGUGGUGGAUCGAUAACUUCCGGCUCUGAGUCGGUACCGGAGUCAUCACCCACUUCUAUGGGUUCCUCGUCCUCUUCGGGAUCAUCUUCGAUCCAUCCUCCGUUGCCUUGGUUGGGAAAGUAGGGGUCGCCAGGGUGGUGAAAUCCAGCCAUUUGACUGUACGAGAAAUAGGGUUAUAAGAAUUGAAUAAAGUCGGAACAUGCAAAACAUGUAAGUUAAACUAGUUUAGAUAGCAAAUACUCCUAUAGUAUUUAAAUUCUUGUGUUUGAUUCUAGUAAUGGUUUGGUAAGUUUUGACUUGUUGCUUACUACGAUCAUUCCUCGAUAUACGUUGGUCCAAUCUCGGGCAAAUAUAGUUGAUCACGCUAUAUUUGUCCAAAAUCUGAUUACAUAUAUCGAGUCUUAAUCGUAGUGUCAACUUGUCUAAAUACUUGUUGUAUAGUUAGAUAUCAUGAAAAUAAUUUGUGGUAUGCAUGUAAUUGUACUUAAAUGAACUAUCAAUUUAAGUUGAACGCAAUGCUGCUUAAGCGUAAAAAGAAAAUUUGUUUUGUCAGAGAGUAUUAGUCCCUUAAGCAUUUAUAGUUUGUAUAUCUUAUGUGGUUCGAUAUACUUAGUUCACUAUAAACAUUGCUCUGAUACCAAUCUGUCACACCCCCAAACCUGAACGGCGGAAACGUUCGGGGGCGGAUGACUUCAUGUGGUAACGUAACAAAUGAAUACAUAGUAAAGAAAGCAAUACAACCAUCAUAUAUAUAAUUGAAAGUUUACAUUUGUCAAAAGUUACAUGUUCAAAACUCAAUUACAAUAUGAUGUCAAAAAUACGAGAUUAAACUGGCGCCGCAGCAUCCCUUCAUCAAAAGCGUAAUGAAUACCUGAAAUUACUGAUUUCCUGGGACAUACAAGUAAUUUUGAAAGAGUAGAUCAGCAUUUAAGCUGGUGAGUUUCAUAAGUAUUUAAGUGACAAUGUUUGUAUGAAAUGAAAUGUUUUGUCUUUGUUUGUUUGUGUUUAGAAAAUCCUAUAUUUUCUACUAGUAUAAAAGUAGCCUUCACUCAAGACCAAUGUUUGUUUCUAAAAUGUAUGUAAGUGUAAAAUAACCAAUGUGUUUGAAAACCUUGUAAAUCAAUGCAUUUUUAAUACCCCAUGUGAGUUUUAUAACCAUACUAUUGACUCGAAAUGCCUAUACACAACGUUCUUCAGGCGUUGGAAUGUUAUGAUGUUUGUCACCCCAAACGGUGGACUGCAGCUAACAGUCAGGGCGCGGGUUGUCAAGCCCGUAUAGAUCUAUACACAAACACCAUGCUCCCCCUCCAAGGGAUUCUGGUAUAUAAUACAGGACUUGAAAUGUGUACUCGAACGUACAUGAAGUUAGUGUCUCACAAAACCGUGGUAUAAAAACAGAUCUACUUGUUAAUUUCAUUAUUUCAAAAGUAGCUACAAUACUUGACUUUUUAGGUCAUUACAAAGAGUUGAAAUAUCGGGUUGUCACAGUAGGCGAUGACCUUAUUUCGCUGCAUCAGAACACACCCGAGCCCUUGAUUCGACGCAUCGCAAUAGACUAUGAAGUCUUCUAUCCCUUCGGGGAGGGACAGUAUUGGUGCGGUGCACAAAGCUCGCUUGAGCGUUUGGAACGCUCUCUCCUGUUUCUCUUCCCAGUCAAAGGCAACGCCUUUCUGGGUCAGUGUUGUAAGAGGUUUCGCUAUUCGGGAGAAGUUAUGUAUGAACCUGCGUUAGUAGCCGGCGAGACCUAGAAAUUGACGAAUCUCUGUAGGCGUCUUCGGUGCUAACCAGUUCUCAAUGGCCUUAAUUUUCGAUGGGUCCACGUUGAUUCCCUCUUCGCUUACCACGUGUCCUAAGAAUUCGACUCUUUGGAUCCAAAAUUCACAUUUAGAGAACUUCUCAUAGAGCUUCUCCGGUCAUAAGGUUCCUAGAUCUUGUCGCAGAUGAUCGCCAUGCUCUUCCUCACUUCGGGAAUAGAUCAGGAUGUCAUCAAUGAAUACAAUGACGAACUGAUCCAAGUAAGGUCGGCAUACUCUAUUCAUCAGAUCCAUGAAAACUGAUGGCGCAAUGGUCAAUCCAAAUGGCAUCACCACGAACUCGUAGUGUCCGUAAUGAGUUUGGAAGGUUGUCUUCGGAACAUCCUCCUCUAGCACUCGUAAUUGGUGAUAUCCGGAUCUUAGAUCAAUUUUGGAAAAGUAGUUCGCCCCUUGCAGUUGGUCAAAUAAAUCGUCUAUGUGUGGCAGAGGGUAACGAUUCUUGACCGUUAGUUUGUUGAGUUCUCUGUAGUCGAUACACAUACGGAAUGAUCCGUCUUUCUUCUUAACGAAUAAGACCGGUGCUCCCCAAGGUGAGAAACUUGGUCUUAUAAAGCUCUUGUUGAGCAGUUCGUUAAAUUGACCGGAUAGUUCCUGCAUCUAUGUUGGUGCUAAUCGGUAGGGCGACUUGGCUACUAGGGUAGCUCCUGGGACUAAGUCGAUUCUGAACUCGACCUGUCGUUGCGGAGGGAAUCCUGGGAGCUCUUCUGGGAAGAUGUCGGGAAAGUCGCUCACUACUGGAAUGUUCUUUAGUUCCUUCGUUUCGAGGCUCGUAUCGACGACAUGAUCAAGGAAUGCAUGGUAUUCUUUACGUAGAUACUUCUAUGCUUGAAUACUUGAUAUAAUACGAAGACUCGCCCCAGGUUUGUCGCCGUAAACGAUAAGAGUUUCGUUGGACGGGAGGUUUAGACGGACUGCUUUCUCGUAGCACAUGAUGUCGGCAUGAUGAAGGCUUAACCAAUCCAUGCUGAUGAUAACGUCGAAGCUUUUUAUUGAGACCGGCAUAAGGUCGAUUGGAAAUGAAUGGUUAUCUAGAGUUAGGGUACAACCUAAGUAUAUGCUAUUCGUGCUUUCAGUUUUUCGAUUAGCCAUUUCUACUGUGAAUUGUUCUUUAAGUGUGUGUGGUUGUUGUUUAAGCAUGCGAGAAAAUUUAUAGUUCACAAAGCUUCGCUCCGCUCCACUAUCGAACAUAAUGCAUGCAUAGGAGUUAUUGAGGAGGAACAUACCAGUCACCACUGUCGGGUUAGCAAUUGCUUCCCCAUGGCAUAUUGCUAGUACCCUUCCUGCUCCACCAGCAUUCUUCACUUUGGGGCAGUCCCUCUUAUAGUGGCCCGCCUCGCCACAUCCAUAACAGGUCUGGAUCACGCCAGAGCCGGGGACUUGGGUAAUCGGCCUCGCUAGAGAUUUACAGAAACGGACUGUGUGUCCUUUCGUGUUGCAGUUAGUGCACUGCAUUUCAUGACAGGGGCCGCUGUGGUGGUAAUUGCAUUUGCCGCACUUAGGCAAAUUUCCAGCAUACUACCCCACCGGAGCAGCAGUAGCAGCAGGGGUUGUUGCGACAUGCACUGCUACAAUUUGCUGCUUUUUGGCAGCUCGCUGUUUCUUCUUCUCCUCCCAGAACUUCCGCUUAGUGUCAGCGGGUUUAGAGGGUUCCAGGAUGGCUAGGGUGGUUGGUGUUGUAGGGGUUUUGACCCCAUGGUCAAUGAGUCGUUGUGCCAGUCGCUUGGCACUGUCGAAGGUAGCGGGGUUUGAUGAUAGGACAUUCCCCUGAUACGGAGGCACUAGCCCCCAUAUGUACCUUUCGAUCUUUUUCCCUUCAGUGGGAACCAUAUUGGGGCAGAGGACCACUAGUUCGCUGAAUCUUGCGGUAUAUGCGACUACGUUGGUGCCCUUCAUGGUUAGGCUCCAAAGUUCCUGCUCCAAUUUCUCGAGCGCACAGGGGUUUCAACAGGAAUAGAGUUAACAGGGGUUCCACCUCUGCUGGCAUCAGUAGAGUGAUACUGUGCCAUGGCAGUUGCCACUGCUGCAGCUACGACAGCAUUCAGGGCUGCAGUAUCGAUAAUCGGAGGAGGAGGUGGUGGUGCAAGGUUAUUCCUGGGAGAUUUGCGAGGAGGAAUCUUUCAGCUAUAAGUUUAUAAAGAUAAACAAAAUGGUAAGAAUCAAUUGUAAGUGGGGUGAGAGUGACGCAUGGACUAACCAACCAUAGCCCAACAGUUGAAUGAGUGUUUGAGAUCACAACAAGGAAGAUUAAUGGGAAAACACAAGCAUACAUAUUUUUCCCACAGAUUAGAUAACUGUCUACAAUACUGGUAUUAUCGAUGUAAUAAGUUUUAGGGAAAAUCGACCUAAGAGUAGGUCUUACAUCAUACCAUAUGGAAAGCUUGACAGUUCCUAGUUUCCUAAUUAGAGUACUAAAAGUUAUGAAUAUUUUACAGACAAGUGCUACUUGAAGCACAAAUACUAAAGGCUAAUCCUUAACCAAAAGAUAAAGAUGUACUAGACAUCUCCUAACGGCGAUGGGAAUUCCUCGGGCGAGCCCUGAGGUCUUUCACUUGACGAAACACCUCUUGAAGUUGUCGCUCCUGUGCCCUCUGAAGGGCUCGAAGAUCCAAGACUUCAGCUUGAGAGGCAGCCAGCUGUUGCUGAAAUGCCUCAUUGGUUCUCCUGGUCCUUUCCAUUUCUUCUUCCCGACGGCGGAUGCGGACUGUGUUGACACCAGAGUUGGCAUCAACCUCCAUGACUCGGUCGAUAGUUGCUCGACCUUGUUCACCAUUACAAGCUAUCCUACAGAUAAUGACGGGCAGAGCUCGAUCCGCAGAGCCACUUUCGUUGAGGUUGUAAAAGCUUCGGUCCCCAAAGUAAGGUAAGGUUUGACCCUGUUCAUCACUCCAGCGAUUCAAGUUGGUUACCCACAAGGGUGUAGGACCUAGAAACGCUGGUCGGGGGUUGUUGUUUGGGACCUGACCUACUGGCGGUAGGUUGUUUACUUCAGGCUCAGAGUCGGAUCCAUCAGAAAAUCCUUCUGCGAGGUGAUCAUCCAAAGGGAUUUGAUGCUCAUCUUAGGGCUCUUCUUCGAUCCACCCAGCAUUGCCUUCAUUGGGAAAGUACAGGUCGCCAUGAUGGAAUCCAGCCAUUUAAUCUUCGCGAGAAGAGAGGUAUAAGAAUCUAGUGUAUAAAUAGCUUGUAGUAGCACAAAAUACUCCUAUGGUAUUUUAAGUUUAAGAUCUAAUGUUCUCCUUGUGGUAUUGUUGGUAAGUUUUUAGACUUGUUAACAUAUCACAACCAUUCUAGGGCAUAUGCUAAUCACUCCUAGGACCAGCAUAGUUGAUCAGGCUAUGCCAUUCCCAGGACUAACCAUACAUCCCCGAGCUCACUUGUGAUAUUUAACAAUCGCAAUACUUUUGUUCUUGUCAGAGUGUUUUAAUCCCAAAAGGGGUUUAUAGUUUAGUAUAUCUUUUAUGGGUUGAUAUACUCAACUCACUAUAAACAAUGCUCUGAUACCAAUCUGUCACACCCCAAAACCAAGAACGGCGGAAACGUUCUAGGGCGGAGGACGACAUGUAAAGUAUCACAACACAGUAAAUGUAAAUAAGCAAACAACAUCAUCCAUUGCAUUAAAUAUAUAUUUUUAAUACAAGUGUGUUCUGUACAGUUAUAGACACCAAAAAGCAAAUCAAAAUAAUUAGAUGAGUCUUGAAUGAGCUCCAUCUUCUCAAAAGCUGGCAUCGGUACCAGUCUACUAUCGACCUGAGAAUACAAGUUAUUUUGAAAGAGUUUAUAUUUUAGUGUCGGUGUUUGUUAUCAAAACGUUUGAAGAUGGUCUUAAGUAUAAGUUUGUAAAAUGUAUGUAAAUGUUUGUAAGUGUUUGUAAAAGUUCGAAUCUCUCAGAAAAACCUAUAUUUUCUAUUAAAGUAGCCUUCUACCAAGGCUUAACUGUUUCGUAUGUUCGUUUGUUGUAAAAGUGUGUAAUUUCCCAAGUGUAACUAUCAUUAAUAAAUAUAGUUUGUACAUUAAUGUUUAGGUGAAAUAAUCACUAAAUAUAUGUAAAGGGUAAAUUAUUGUAGUACUGUAGUGUUGUAUUAUAGGAACUACUUCUGUACUAACUACCUUAAACCAGAUUUAUAUUAAGGUACCAUGUGAUUAAUUGUAUCAUACUAUCGACUGGAUAAACAACGACAAAUGUAGGUCGUAAAAAGAAAUGACGUUUGGCACCCGCAGACCUGCAGGUCCGGCUGUAGCUAGCAGCAAGGUGUAGGAUAGUCAAUCCAGUAUAGAUCUAUACGCAAACUCACGCUCUCCCUCCAAGAGAAUUCUGGCUACAACUCGGGCCAUGACAUUUANCACAAUGGUUAACGUAUUCAUGUAUAUGUAAUGUAAUGUUACUCGUUCUAGUAUCGUUGUAUAUGUUUUCUUUCUAGUAUAAUUGUAUGUGUUCUCCUUCUAGUAUAGUUAUAUAUGUUCUCUUUCUAGUAUAUCUGUAUAUGUUCUCUUUCUAGUAUAGUUGUAUAUGUUCUCCUUCUAGUAUAGUUGUAUAUGUUCUCUCCAAGUAUAGUUGUAUAUGUCCUCUCCUAGUAUAGUUGUAUAUGUUCUCUUUGUAAUAAGUAUUGACUCAUGAAUGAACUGACUCAUUGAUCUAGCAAUAGUAUAGUAUGAUCCUGUCUUACCCAGAUGGUAACUUUCUAAUGAUGUAACUAGUACUUAUAAAUAUGGAAGAAAUUUUAUGACUAUAUAUGUACACAUGAUAUAUAAUUAAUAUUGAAACGACCUUCGGACGGCUACCCGAUAAUCCACCAGACCACAUCCAAAUCGAGGAAAAGGAAAUAGGGCGGACGGCCUUCCUAAGCCUUUUAAACAUUGCUUAUAUAACUAUACAUAUACGGGCAUGCAAUUUAUAAUAAGUAUAACAAAGGUUAAGUAAAAGCAUUUGAUAAGUAAAAGAGUUUGUAAAGCAGUUUGAAGUAAAACAGUUUGAUAAACAGUUUGAAAAGUAAUAAUUCAUUGGUUUUGUAGUUAUUAAUCACAUGUGAUUGAUGUAAUAACUAUAAGUAUUCAACUUGUAUCCCCCCCCAUUAAAGCAUUUAAAACAUUUAAAAGUAUUUCAAAGGUUAGUUAAAGGGGGUAUGAACUCACUUGAGGUGAGUGGAUUGGAUUGAAGUGUCGGGUAUGGUGCUAGGUGAACAAAUGAAGACUUGUACACGCACGAGCCUAGUUAUCAUAUAAUGAACAUAUAUAUAACUAAUUAGCCAAUUUAUAACUAAUAAAUUAAGUUGGGGCACCCUAUAACAUGAAAACACUUUGCUUCAAGUGUUAAAGAUCACAAGGAUUGCAUCCGAGUGUUGGUAGGGCAAAACUAGUGUGUUUGGAGUUUACGGUUUUGAUGGUCAAUACCUAGGGAGUUUACGGCGGUAAAAUCUAUAGUUUACGGUCAUAAACUCUAGUCUUAAGGUCCAAGUGUUGUUUUGUGGUUUAGCAAGCCUUUUGAAGCAAUUCUACUAAGUGGUUUGGCCUUUGGAAGGGACUAGGGCAAC
rnacentral:lncRNA from 1 species